rnacentral:rRNA from 1 species
GUGGGGAAUAUUGGACAAUGGGCGCAAGCCUGAUCCAGCCAUACCGCGUGGGUGAAGAAGGCCUUCGGGUUGUAAAGCCCUUUUGUUGGGAAAGAAAUCCAGCCGGCUAAUACCUGGUUGGGAUGACGGUACCCAAAGAAUAAGCACCGGCUAACUUCGUGCCAGCAGCCGCGGUAAUACGAAGGGUGCAAGCGUUACUCGGAAUUACUGGGCGUAAAGCGUGCGUAGGUGGUUGUUUAAGUCUGUUGUGAAAGCCCUGGGCUCAACCUGGGAACUGCAGUGGAAACUGGACAACUAGAGUGUGGUAGAGGGUAGCGGAAUUCCCGGUGUAGCAGUGAAAUGCGUAGAGAUCGGGAGGAACAUCCAUGGCGAAGGCAGCUACC